UUUGGCAACAACAAAACAUGAAUUGUAGUCCCAAGUUUCCAUCACUUUAGAGGUAUCUUCAUCUCGCAGAUUUAAUAGACAACAAGCAGCACUGACAUGACUUUAAACAGAAUAAAAAUAUCUAUCUUCCAAUAAGAGAAACAAAUCUUCCAAGACUAAAAUGCCUUCACGGAUUACAGAAUACUGACCUUUUGGUAGGUGCCGAGGACCCAGCCCUUGGAAUUAACCGCAUUAUGAUGCAGCCCUUUCAUAAUCUGCAGCAGUGACCUGACCACGACUCGGACCUCGUUCUGCGGAGGGUUUGGUCCCAACAGUCGGCGGCUCUCCGAGAAGUCAGGUGACAUCUCUACAGGAUGUUUCAAGCUUCCACCCCUUCUGACAGCACGCAACACCAGGUCCGCUCGACGGAUGAGGAAACUCGUUCCCUCCUCCAAAUUAUUGCGGACCUGGGGGUUAUGGAUGAACUGGAUCGACUUGCCAAAGAAAUGCCACCAUUUUCACCAGUAUUACCAGUGCUCUGGCUGAACUUGGGCAAAACAGAACGCUCCUGCAGGUACGAGAUAAAUUCAAGAAACUGAAAUAUCUGUACCUGCAGGAGAGACAACGCCUGCAGUCCUCAGGUCAAAGCACGAGGUCCCAAUUUCAGUUCUGGGAGAAAAUGUACCGGUUAAUGGGUGACCGGCCAGUGGCAUCGGACCAUUUGCUGGAAUCUUCAUCCUCCCAGAUGUCCUGUGAAAUACCAGCCCCAUUAAUUGCACCAGCCAUCAUUUAUUUUUCUAAACUAAAAUAUGCUGCAAUUGUAAAACACAGAAAUCUAUAUUAUUAUUUU